CACUGAUCACAUUAAGCGACCAAAAACAAAAUCAUGGAGACUGGCUAAUCUCAGAUGUCAAUGUAAUUUAUCCCUGCUCCUGGAG